GACGAACCGUGCGAACGUUGUUCGGAAUCAUUGGGCUUAAAGGGCGCGUAGGCGGGACAGAAAGUCAGGGGUGAAAGCCCGCAGCUCAACUGCGGAAGUGCCUUUGAUACUGCUGUUCUCGAGGGAGGCAGGGGAGUGCGGAACUUCCGGUGGAGCGGUGAAAUGCGUAGAUAUCGGAAGGAACACCGGUGGCGAAAGCGGCGCUCUGGACCUCUUCUGACGCUGAGGCGCGAAAGCUAGGGGAGCAAACGGG
rnacentral:rRNA from 1 species